UACGAAGGGGGCGAGCGUUGUUCGGAAUUACUGGGCGUAAAGGGCGCGUAGGCGGCGAUCCGAGUCAGAUGUGAAAGUCCUGGGCUUAACCUGGGGACUGCAUUUGAUACUGGAUUGCUUGAAUUCGGGAGAGGAUAGCGGAAUUCCCAGUGCAGAGGUGAAAUUCGUAGAUAUUGGGAAGAACACCGGUGGCGAAGGCGGCUAUCUGGACCGACAUUGACGCUGAGGCGCGAAAGCGUGGGGAGCAAACAGG
rnacentral:rRNA from 1 species